rnacentral:lncRNA from 1 species
UACUAAACGUCGUCUGGAUCCGCGCGCCUGUUUACCCAAUUCUAACUCCAUAUUUUCUAAAUUGAGCGACUGUGCUGAGCCGUUCACUUCUUCAUCUCCAUCUGACAUCCGCAAGAACUUGCAACUCUGCUGCGGCAACAUGCUUCCAAAGGUAAAGCCCUAACUUCUAAUUCUUCAAAUAUUCUAUCAAAUUGAUGUGUGGUUGCUGUUAUGUAAUUGUGUAGACUAUUACAGUAUUCUGCUUCCUGAUUCAAGGUUACGGUAUUUUGCUUCCUGUUUGUGUUAAUAGUGAGAAAUGGGCUCAAAUGGAUGACAUUAAUGGAGCACUAAAGUUGGGCAGCAAGUUGAAAAAUAAAGAAAAAUCCUAUAUAACGAGUAUGGGCGAUUUUCUCUAUAUCCAACCCUCAGAACUGAAGUUCCCAUGUUAGUCAAUUAUUAUUUUUUUAUUGUAAUAUUUUUUUCUUCUAAUUUGGCUUUAAACUAUGUCGAAAUAGUUUUGUUAUGAUUCUUUUGAUGUGGGCUUUUGCUGGUUGAGGUUUUUUAUUAAUUGAAGAUGGCAAAUAUUUUUAUAUCUUUUUUCCCAGUAAGGAGACGUAAAAAUUUGUUUCCUCUAUGUUUAAUAUUUUUACUGUUGGGAUUGAUUAUUUUUGUGCUGGUUUUUGUGGCCUGUGAUGAUGAAGAUGAAUUGAGAAAGCAGAGUUCAUUUUCAGUGCAGUUCACUAAUAAGAGUAAUCAGUACCUUGCUUUCAAGGUAUUUUUCUUAUUUUAUUGCAGAUUAUAGUCAACAGAUUGAAAGCUCUGUUAAGCAUGUGGUGAUACUUAUAUCAUCGUUUUGAUUAAUGGAUUUUUAAUGGAAAAGGUCAAAACAACCAGCCCAGAGAGGUACUGUGUUCGACCAAAUGUCGGUAUCUAUUUAUAAUGCAAGCACACAAAGAGGCGCUCGCUGAUAUGCAGGGCAAGGACAAGUUUCUAAUCCAGAGUGUUGUUGCUCCCAGUGGCACAACAAAGAAAGAUAUAGAACAUCUUCAUUACUUGAGGCUGUAAGUUCUUAGUGCAUUCCUUCCCCAUCUACUCAACCUUGGGAACAAAUGUUUCACUGUCUACGAAUUUAUUAGGUAAUGAGAUUGUUAGACAAAUCCAAUUAGGGAUGUCAACGAGCCAAGCCGAGUCGAGCCUAAAAUUUUAGGCUCGAUUAAAAUGGUCGAGCUUUUUUACGAGCCCGAGCUCGAGCCAAGCCGAGCUUUUGCUCGGCCAAAAAAUUUCGGCUCGGCCCUAGCUUUCGGAUCGGGCUUUUACGGGCAAAGCCGGGCAAGCUCUUUUUUUUUUUUUUUAAUUAAAUAUAAAACUGCAUUUUUAAAGGCAGCAAACUUGGCAUAAUUCUACCUUGCUGCCUCUUUUUCUUCUCUCAUUUUUUUUAAAUAAAAGCCACGGGGUGGCUAGGGCUCUGCCCAAGCCUCCGAGCUUUUUUGACACCCCUAAAUCCAAUGGGAAAUUAUCAUCAUCCAGGUGAGCAAUUACUUUUGUGAUGUCUCAUUGCAAAUUCUGCAGUUAUGUUGAUAAAUAAUUAUGCUAUAAAAAGUAUGAAGUCCAUGAAUAGUUCAAGUCGUAUCAGAUGUAAAGCACCUUGUUAUGUAUUAGUGAUUUUUAUAGUUCUUGCAAUGAUAUUUUGUCAUUCUAAGAUGCAGUAAGUAACUUCUUCUUCUUUUUUCUCUUAUGACGAUUUCAGUUUUUGUGGCUAAAUAGUGAGGAUAGUAAUAUCAUUAUCUUUGUAAUGGUGUUUCCGUCCAUGCCUACUCGACUGUAUUCUAUAAUGGAAGUUUUUGUCUCUGCUUUCUUGAGUGCCUUAGAUAAUUGAGUACAUGUUUAAUUUGUAAGCCAAAUACAUUUUCAUUAUAUGCAGUUUUUGUCUUUUUCUGCUGGUAAAAUUAGCCGAUCAUUACUUGAGAAGGAUAUGGUUUAAGGAAAUCUAUCAUUAUGUUGGUAAAAUUAGCUGAUCAUUAUAUUAUGUCUAUUUCUUAGCAAUGUUCAACUCAUGUCAAGAAGCAAGUUUGUCGUUACUGUUUUAGUGAAGUUUCCAUACAAUUUGUAGUUAGAUUUAAUUUUUGUUACGUUGUUUUCCACGCACUUGUUUGAAUAAAUUUUGACAAAAUGAGUGAAAAUAUAUCUAAGUAUAUUAUUUAUUUUUAUGAUAUGCAGGGAGUUGGUUAUUUUUGAGAUAGCUAAAAUGUUGAUCAAAGAAGCAAAUUUAUUGAUGUAUGGAACAAUUAUUUUUUAAUAGUUUAACUAGUUAUUUUGGAAUAGUAGUCUACAUUUUGGCAUAUUGUAUUGGUGCACACUCGAUACUUUCAUUCAUUGAAUUUAUAAAAAACAUGAUUAUAUAUUUAUUGAUAUAUGAUUAUGUUCUUUAAUUAUUUGUGUUUGGUGAUCAAAUAAAUAAUUAUUUUAAAAAAAAAUUAGAUGGACAUUUACGGCAUACAUUAAAGUAUGCUGUAAAAAAUAUCAUCUUUUUAACAGUGUGUGGAUGCAUGCCAUGAAAAAGUUAGUAUUUAGGGCGUGCUUUUUGAGUUUUUACGACAUGCAAUGUAUGCCGUAAAAAGAUGUGAGUAUUUACGGCAUAACUUUAUAUGGCAUUCAAGCGUACGCCGUAAAUAGCUAUAUGUC